UCCCGUCUUGCUCUUUCUUCUCUCUCCUGCCACCAUGUGAUGAAGGACAUAUUUGCUUCCCCUUCCACCUUGGUUGUGUUUCCUGAGGCCUCCGCAGCCUUGCAGAAUGAUGCAUUAUAUUCUUUAACCCUCACAACAACUUGAAUCUCCCUCUGUCGUCCAGGCUGGAGUACAGUGGUAUGAUUUCAGCUCACUGCAACCUCCGCCACCCGGGUUCAAGCGAUUCUCCUUCCUCAGCUUCCUGAGUAGCUGGGACUACAGACAUGUGCCACCGUGCUUGGCUAAUUUUUGUAUUUUUAGUAGACACGGGGUUUUACCAUGUUGGCCAAGCUGGUCUUGAUCUCCUGACCUCGUGAUCCACUCACCUCGGCCUCCCAAAGUGCUGAGAUGACAGGCAUAAGCCACC